UGCGUAGGGGGCAAGCGUUGUCCGGAUUUAUUGGGCGUAAAGAGCGUGUAGGCGGCUGGGUAGGUCCGUUGUGAAAACUCGAGGCUCAACCUCGAGACGCCGAUGGAAACCCUCCAGCUAGAGUCCGGAAGAGGAGAGUGGAAUUCCUGGUGUAGCGGUGAAAUGCGCAGAUAUCAGGAAGAACACCCGUGGCUAAGGCGGCUCUCUAGUACGGUACUGACGCUGAGACGCGAAAGCGUGGGGAGCGAACAGG
rnacentral:rRNA from 1 species